rnacentral:rRNA from 1 species
GUUAUAUGGUCAAGUGAAGAAGCGCAUACGGUGGAUGCCUUGGCAGUCAGAGGCGAUGAAAGACGUGGUAGCCUGCGAAAAGCUUCGGGGAGUCGGCAAACAGACUGUGAUCCGGAGAUGUCUGAAUGGGGGAACCCAGCCAUCAUAAGAUGGUUAUCUUGUACUGAAUACAUAGGUGCAAGAGGCGAACCAGGGGAACUGAAACAUCUAAGUACCCUGAGGAAAAGAAAUCAACCGAGAUUCCCUUAGUAGUGGCGAGCGAACGGGGACCAGCCCUUAAGUUGUAUUGAGAUUAGCGGAACGUUCUGGAAAGGACGGCCAUAGUGGGUGAUAGCCCUGUACGCGAAAAUCCCUUUGCAAUGAAAUCGAGUAGGACGGGGCACGAGAAACCUUGUCUGAAUAUGGGGGGACCAUCCUCCAAGGCUAAAUACUACUGACUGACCGAUAGUGAACCAGUACCGUGAGGGAAAGGCGAAAAGAACCGCGGAGAGCGGAGUGAAAUAGAUCCUGAAACCGUAUGCGUACAAGCAGUGGGAGCCCACUUUGUUGGGUGACUGCGUACCUUUUGUAUAAUGGGUCAGCGACUUAUUUUCAGUGGCGAGCUUAACCGAAUAGGGGAGGCGUAGCGAAAGCGAGUCUUAAUAGGGCGUCUAGUCGCUGGGAAUAGACCCGAAACCGGGCGAUCUAUCCAUGGGCAGGUUGAAGGUUGGGUAACACUAACUGGAGGACCGAACCGACUACCGUUGAAAAGUUAGCGGAUGACCUGUGGAUCGGAGUGAAAGGCUAAUCAAGCUCGGAGAUAGCUGGUUCUCCUCGAAAGCUAUUUAGGUAGCGCCUCAUGUAUCACUGUAGGGGGUAGAGCACUGUUUCGGCUAGGGGGUCAUCCCGACUUACCAAACCGAUGCAAACUCCGAAUACCUACAAGUGCCGAGCAUGGGAGACACACGGCGGGUGCUAACGUCCGUCGUGAAAAGGGAAACAACCCAGACCGUCAGCUAAGGUCCCAAAGUCAUGGUUAAGUGGGAAACGAUGUGGGAAGGCUUAGACAGCUAGGAGGUUGGCUUAGAAGCAGCCACCCUUUAAAGAAAGCGUAAUAGCUCACUAGUCGAGUCGGCCUGCGCGGAAGAUGUAACGGGGCUCAAACCAUGCACCGAAGCUACGGGUAUCAUCUUAGGAUGAUGCGGUAGAGGAGCGUUCUGUAAGCCUGUGAAGGUGAGUUGAGAAGCUUGCUGGAGGUAUCAGAAGUGCGAAUGCUGACAUGAGUAACGACAAUGGGUGUGAAAAACACCCACGCCGAAAGACCAAGGUUUCCUGCGCAACGUUAAUCGACGCAGGGUUAGUCGGUCCCUAAGGCGAGGCUGAAAAGCGUAGUCGAUGGAAAACAGGUUAAUAUUCCUGUACUUCUGGUUAUUGCGAUGGAGGGACGGAGAAGGCUAGGCCAGCCUGGCGUUGGUAGUCCAGGUUUAAGGUGGUAGGCUGAGAUCUUAGGUAAAUCCGGGAUCUUAAGGCCGAGAGCUGAUGACGAGUGUUCUUUUAGAACACGAAGUGGUUGAUGCCAUGCUUCCAAGAAAAGCUUCUAAGCUUCAGGUAACCAGGAACCGUACCCCAAACCGACACAGGUGGUUGGGUAGAGAAUACCAAGGCGCUUGAGAGAACUCGGGUGAAGGAACUAGGCAAAAUGGCACCGUAACUUCGGGAGAAGGUGCGCCGGUGGAGGUGAAGCAUUUACUGCGUAAGCCCCUGCCGGUCGAAGAUACCAGGCCGCUGCGACUGUUUAUUAAAAACACAGCACUCUGCAAACACGAAAGUGGACGUAUAGGGUGUGACGCCUGCCCGGUGCCGGAAGGUUAAUUGAUGGGGUUAGCGCAAGCGAAGCUCUUGAUCGAAGCCCCGGUAAACGGCGGCCGUAACUAUAACGGUCCUAAGGUAGCGAAAUUCCUUGUCGGGUAAGUUCCGACCUGCACGAAUGGCGUAACGAUGGCGGCGCUGUCUCCACCCGAGACUCAGUGAAAUUGAAAUCGCUGUGAAGAUGCAGUGUAUCCGCGGCUAGACGGAAAGACCCCGUGAACCUUUACUAUAGCUUUGCACUGGACUUUGAAUUUGCUUGUGUAGGAUAGGUGGGAGGCUUUGAAGCGUGGACGCCAGUCUGCGUGGAGCCAACCUUGAAAUACCACCCUGGCAACUUUGAGGUUCUAACUCAGGUCCGUUAUCCGGAUCGAGGACAGUGUAUGGUGGGUAGUUUGACUGGGGCGGUCUCCUCCUAAAGAGUAACGGAGGAGUACGAAGGUGCGCUCAGACCGGUCGGAAAUCGGUCGUAGAGUAUAAAGGCAAAAGCGCGCUUGACUGCGAGACAGACACGUCGAGCAGGUACGAAAGUAGGUCUUAGUGAUCCGGUGGUUCUGUAUGGAAGGGCCAUCGCUCAACGGAUAAAAGGUACUCCGGGGAUAACAGGCUGAUACCGCCCAAGAGUUCAUAUCGACGGCGGUGUUUGGCACCUCGAUGUCGGCUCAUCACAUCCUGGGGCUGAAGCCGGUCCCAAGGGUAUGGCUGUUCGCCAUUUAAAGUGGUACGCGAGCUGGGUUUAGAACGUCGUGAGACAGUUCGGUCCCUAUCUGCCGUGGACGUUUGAGAUUUGAGAGGGGCUGCUCCUAGUACGAGAGGACCGGAGUGGACGAACCUCUGGUGUUCCGGUUGUCACGCCAGUGGCAUUGCCGGGUAGCUAUGUUCGGAAAAGAUAACCGCUGAAAGCAUCUAAGCGGGAAACUUGCCUCAAGAUGAGAUCUCACUGGAACCUUGAGUUCCCUAAAGGGCCGUCGAAGACUACGACGUUGAUAGGUUGGGUGUGUAAGCGCUGUGAGGCGUUGAGCUAACCAAUACUAAUUGCCCGUGAGGCUUGACCAUAUAACACCCAAGCAAUU